rnacentral:rRNA from 1 species
CUACGGGAGGCUCCAGUCAAGAAUCUUCCACAAUGGCCGAAAGGCUGAUGGAGCGACGCCGCGUGCAUGAAGAAGCCCUUCGGGGUGUAAAAUGCUUUUAUGUGGGACGAAACAAUGACGGUACCACAAGAAUAAGGGGCUGCUAACCUCGUGCCAGCAGCAGCGGUAAUACGAGGGCCCCGAGCGUUUAUCCGGAUUUAUUGGGCGUAAAGGGUCCGUAGGCGGUCUAUUACAUCUCCUGUUAAAUCCCAAGGCUUAACCUUGGAACUGCGGGAGAGAUGGAUAGACUAGAGGCCGGUAGAGGCAAGCGGAAUUGUCGGUGUAGGGGUUAAAUCCGUUAAUAUCGACAGGAACACCAAAUGCGAAGGCAGCUUGCUAGAACGAGCCUGACGCUCAGGGACGAAAGCGUGGGUAGCGAAUGGGAUUAGAUACCCUCGUAGUC